CCUACGGGUGGCAGCAGUCGGGAAUAUUGCGCAAUGGAGGAAACUCUGACGCAGUGACGCCGCGUGCAGGAAGAAGGUCUUCGGAUUGUAAACUGCUUUAGACAGGGAAGCAAAAAGACAGUACCUGUAGAAUAAGCUCCGUCUAACUACGUGCCAGCAGCCGCGGUAAUACGUAGGGAGCAAGCGUUAUCCGGAAUGAUUGGGUGUAAAGGGUGGGUAGACGGAGAAGCAAGUUAGUUGUGAAAACCCUCGGCUUAACUGAGGAACUGCAACUAAAACUAGUUCCCUUGAGUACUGGAGAGGAAAGUGGAAUGCCUGGUGUAGCGGUGAAAUGCGUAGAUAUUAGGCGGAACACCAGUGGCGAAGGCGACUUUCUGGACAGUAACUGACGUUGAGGCACGAAAGUGUGGGGAGCGAACAGGAUUAGAUACCCGUGUAGUC
rnacentral:rRNA from 1 species